AUGCUGCUACUUCCUGCUUGGACUUCGGUAGAGCAACUCUGGUGCUGCUGUUACAGGACGAGAGCAAUGGCUGGAGGGCCUAUAGACUUCUGGAAUGCGUGGGCGGUUCAGAGCCUGGUGCUGACGAGCCUAACUCUGCAGGUUGCCCUCGUCCUGUUAGCGGGGAUCCGGCGGCGUGGCACAUCCUGGCGUACGUUCAGGUUCAUGCUCUGGAUGGCGUACCAGCUCGCCGACGCCACCGCGAUAUAUGCUCUCGGCCACCUCUCAUUCGACGGUGCCACACCCCGCGAGCAUCGCCUGGUUGCGUUCUGGGCGCCGUUUCUCUUGCUGCACCUUGGCGGCCCGGACAACAUCACCGCCUACUCGCUCGAAGACAACACAUUGUGGCUGCGACACCUACUUAAUCUUGGUUUGCAGGUGCUGGGAGCUUCCUACGUCCUCUACAAGCAUUACAUCGGCACUCAAGACAUGCUCCUUCUCGCCGCCAUCUUGAUGUUCGUCGUCGGUGUUGUCAAGUAUGGCGAGAGGACGUGGGCGCUCAAGUGCGGCAACAUGGACAGCAUCCGGGGCUCCCUCAAGAAGAAACCACCUCCCAGAUGUCAACUUUUUUACCUUGAGUAUGAGCUCCCGCAAGGUGGAUCCAAGGGCAGUGUCGAUGAAGAAGAAUUCCUCAUGCGGCAUGCUCAUUCCCUGUUUCAGUUCUGCAAGCGCGCAAUAGUUGAAUCGUCAGAGGACAGGGACCCGGCCAACCCUGAAAUCAAAGUUCUUGACCACCUCACACAUGAACAGUGGUAUGUGGUGAUGGAGUUGGAGCUGUCACUGCUCUACGACAUCCUGUACACAAAGGCAGGCGUGGUGCACACCUCAUUUGGUUACUGUGUCUGUAUUGCCUCACCAGCCGCUGCUGCAGCAGCGCUGUUGUUCUUCCAGUUCAGUGGCAAAGAUGGUAACAGCAGAGUAGAUGUUGCUAUCACCUACAUCUUACUGGGUGGUGCGUUACUCCUGGAGAUAAGAUCCCUGCUGAGUGCACUUGGGUCUAGUUGGACACUCCCCUUCCUGUGUGCCACAAGAUGGAAUUUCCUGAAACAUGCAUUUCUCUGCAGGGGGAGAUGGGAUCGGCUUCGCCGUUGGAUAGUAUCUCUUUACCGGCUCAUAAAGGUCAUGAGAGUUAGUGGGUGCUUGAGGCCGGCAAGGAGGUGGUCAGGUACUGUGGGGCAAUAUAACAUGUUGCAUUUGUGCAGCCGUCCCAGCAAAAGGAACAGUCCUCUGCCCGGUAGAUUUGCCAUGAUGCUGGGAUUCGAGGAGUGGUGGAACAGGGAGCAUCACUCAAAGACCGCCAGGAUUUCAGAGUACCUGAAGGAGGAAUUGAGGCUUUACAUUCAUGAAUUAGUCAGGGAGGGCCACGUGAGCACCCAAGGCAUUGUCAGGAAAAAAUGGGGUGAGUAUGCAAUCCAGUGGAAAUGUAGGAAGCUGUACAAAAAGCUCACAGGCGACCUGCUAGGCGUUGAGUUCCAAGAGGGCAUCAUUAUCUGGCACAUCGCCACCGACCUCUACCUCCUCGACGACAAGCACACUGGGAUGGAAAUCAUGGAAGGCCAAGCAAUGUAUGAGUCCCUACAUGUUACCAGGCCUUGCCCAGAGCAGAUUGUACCGGCGGACCUGUGA
rnacentral:rRNA from 1 species